rnacentral:lncRNA from 1 species
UGAGCUAUUCCUCCCAGCACGCCUGGCAGGACAACUCCGCCAUCAGGGCUGCAGCAGAUGUGGACGAAAGCGCCGGGGCUUCCUUCCAGGGGAGCAUCAAGGCCUCUGAAGCAACUGUGGUCGCACCAUCUCAGACCCCUGGGAAGCAGGGUGAACGUUCACAGCUUUGCCUUGUGUCUCUGCCCUGCAUCAUUUCGAAACUAAGGGUUAUUGUGAAGGAGGGUGCUGAGAACGAGGAGGGGAUCUCCAUCCGUCUCUGUGGGCCUCAGCGCCGCUCCCACCGGCACUCCCUUCCUUCUUCAUGAAUCUGCAACUUUGUGUCCCCCACCACCUAACCCCUCCAGCACCUUGGUGUCUCAAAAAAUUAAAAAUAGAAGAACCAUAUGAUCCAGCUAUUCUACUUCUGGGUAUUUAGCCAAAGAACAUGAAAACUCAUUCAAAAAGAUAUAUGCACCCCUAUGUUCAUCGCAGCAUUAUUCACAAUAGUCAAGACUUGCAAGCAAUGUAGGUACCCAUCAGUGGAUGAAUGGAUAAAGAAAAUGUGGUAUAUAUAUACAACGGAAUACUAUUCAGCUAUAAAAAAG